rnacentral:rRNA from 1 species
UACGGAAGGCAGCAGUGGGGAAUAUUGCACAAUGGGCGCAAGCCUGAUGCAGCCAUGCCGCGUGUAUGAAGAAGGCCUUCGGGUUGUAAAGUACUUUCAGUCGUGAGGAAGGUGUUAAGGUUAAUAACCUUAGCAAUUGACGUUAGCGACAGAAGAAGCACCGGCUAACUCCGUGCCAGCAGCCGCGGUAAUACGGAGGGUGCGAGCGUUAAUCGGAAUUACUGGGCGUAAAGGGCACGCAGGCGGUUAAUUAAGUUGGAUGUGAAAUCCCCGGGCUUAACCUGGGAAUGGCAUUCAAGACUGGUUAGCUAGAGCCUUGUAGAGGGGGUAGAAUUCCAUGUGUAGCGGUGAAAUGCGUAGAGAUGUGGAGGAAUACCGGUGGCGAAGGCGGCCCCUGGGACAAAGACUGACGCUCAUGUGCGAAAGCGUGGGGAGCAAACAGGAUUAGAUACC